rnacentral:rRNA from 1 species
UCAGGACGAACGCUGGCGGCGUGCUUAACACAUGCAAGUCGAACGAUGAUGCCCAGCUUGCUGGGCGGAUUAGUGGCGAACGGGUGAGUAAUACGUGAGUAACCUGCCCUUGACUCUGGGAUAAGCCUGGGAAACUGGGUCUAAUACUGGAUACUACCUCUUACCGCAUGGUGGGUGGUGGAAAGGGUUUUACUGGUUUUGGAUGGGCUCACGGCCUAUCAGCUUGUUGGUGGGGUAAUGGCUCACCAAGGCGACGACGGGUAGCCGGCCUGAGAGGGUGACCGGCCACACUGGGACUGAGACACGGCCCAGACUCCUACGGGAGGCAGCAGUGGGGAAUAUUGCACAAUGGGCGGAAGCCUGAUGCAGCGACGCCGCGUGAGGGAUGACGGCCUUCGGGUUGUAAACCUCUUUCAGUAGGGAAGAAGCGAGAGUGACGGUACCUGCAGAAGAAGCGCCGGCUAACUACGUGCCAGCAGCCGCGGUAAUACGUAGGGCGCAAGCGUUGUCCGGAAUUAUUGGGCGUAAAGAGCUCGUAGGCGGUUUGUCGCGUCUGCUGUGAAAGCCCGGGGCUCAACCCCGGGUCUGCAGUGGGUACGGGCAGACUAGAGUGCAGUAGGGGAGACUGGAAUUCCUGGUGUAGCGGUGAAAUGCGCAGAUAUCAGGAGGAACACCGAUGGCGAAGGCAGGUCUCUGGGCUGUUACUGACGCUGAGGAGCGAAAGCAUGGGGAGCGAACAGGAUUAGAUACCCUGGUAGUCCAUGCCGUAAACGUUGGGCACUAGGUGUGGGGGACAUUCCACGUUUUCCGCGCCGUAGCUAACGCAUUAAGUGCCCCGCCUGGGGAGUACGGCCGCAAGGCUAAAACUCAAAGGAAUUGACGGGGGCCCGCACAAGCGGCGGAGCAUGCGGAUUAAUUCGAUGCAACGCGAAGAACCUUACCAAGGCUUGACAUUCACCGGACCGCCCCAGAGAUGGGGUUUCCCUUCGGGGCUGGUGGACAGGUGGUGCAUGGUUGUCGUCAGCUCGUGUCGUGAGAUGUUGGGUUAAGUCCCGCAACGAGCGCAACCCUCGUUCUAUGUUGCCAGCACGUGAUGGUGGGGACUCAUAGGAGACUGCCGGGGUCAACUCGGAGGAAGGUGGGGAUGACGUCAAAUCAUCAUGCCCCUUAUGUCUUGGGCUUCACGCAUGCUACAAUGGCCGGUACAAAGGGUUGCGAUACUGUGAGGUGGAGCUAAUCCCAAAAAGCCGGUCUCAGUUCGGAUUGAGGUCUGCAACUCGACCUCAUGAAGUCGGAGUCGCUAGUAAUCGCAGAUCAGCAACGCUGCGGUGAAUACGUUCCCGGGCCUUGUACACACCGCCCGUCAAGUCACGAAAGUUGGUAACACCCGAAGCCGGUGGCCUAACCCCUUGUGGGAGGGAGCCGUCGAAGGUGGGACUGGCGAUUGGGACUAAUC